rnacentral:rRNA from 1 species
UACGUAGGGUGCAGGCGUUAAUCGGAAUUACUGGGCGUAAAGCGUGCGCAGGCGGUCUUUUAAGUCAGAUGUGAAAUCCCCGGGCUUAACCUGGGAACUGCGUUUGAAACUACAAGGCUAGAGUGUGGCAGAGGGGGGUGGAAUUCCACGUGUAGCAGUGAAAUGCGUAGAGAUGUGGAGGAACACCGAUGGCGAAGGCAGCCCCCUGGGUUAACACUGACGCUCAGGCACGAAAGCGUGGGGAGCAAACAGG